rnacentral:piRNA from 1 species
UGAAUGACGGUGAAUGACUGCAGGAGGU